GUAGUACUCCCUCCGUCCGGAAAUACUUGUCGGAGGAAUGGAUGUAUCUAGACAUAUUUUAGUUCUAGAUACAUCCAUUUUUAUGCAUUUCUCCGGCAAGUAUUUCCGGACGGAGGGAGUAGAUA
rfam:Triticum aestivum genome assembly, contig: Triticum_aestivum_CS42_TGACv1_scaffold_292695_4AL